rnacentral:rRNA from 1 species
UGCCGCGUGAGUGAUGAAGGCCUUCGGGUUGUAAAGCUCUUUUACCCGGGAAGAUAAUGACUGUACCGGGAGAAUAAGCUCCGGCUAACUUCGUGC